UACGUAGGGGGCAAGCGUUGUCCGGAUUUAUUGGGCGUAAAGAGCGUGUAGGCGGUUAGGUAGGUCCGUUGUGAAAACUCGAGGCUCAACCUCGAGACGCCGAUGGAAACCAUCUGACUAGAGUCCGGAAGAGGAGAGUGGAAUUCCUGGUGUAGCGGUGAAAUGCGCAGAUAUCAGGAAGAACACCCGUGGCGAAGGCGGCUCUCUGGGACGGUACUGACGCUGAGACGCGAAAGCCAGGGAGCAAACGGG
rnacentral:rRNA from 1 species